UUGUAGAAAAGGCCAAAGAGCUUCCCUUUGGUCUGAUUGGAAAAUGCCGCGAUCUGCUUGACGACAAUGGCAUUGGCGCGCUUGCUCUCGCCGGCAUCACGCAGACGCCGCGCCAGCNNNNNNNNNNCCUUCGUUCCUGUAGUCGCUAUUCUUUCCAUUCGCGACGGCAGCUUCAGCGUCCGCCAGUGAAUCGCUGCGGGCGAGUAAAACGCGAACCUGCGCACGCUUGUAGUAGAAAUUCGCCAGAUCCGUGCCAGUCAGAUUUGACUGCGGCGGCGUAUCUGCCGUCU
rnacentral:misc_RNA from 1 species